UUCUAAAAUGAGGGAUGCUUGACCUACACCGGAUUCUCCAUCUUGGUGCUUCAGGAAAAAUAUCCCAUUAUAACUUCCAAAGCCCCAUCGGAUUUAUGACUGGAGAGGGCUUCGAGUGUGGGAAUUGAGUUGUUUUUUAUGCCAGCCCAGCCUCACUCCCCCAGCCAUUACCCAGCAACCACAGGUUUAUUCUUAAAAACCCUGAGCUGGUCCGAAAUCCACCUUGUUCCAGACAGAGGAGAUAAAACAGGAUUUAAAGGCAAUGCAUUUUCUACCGGGCAGUCUUAUCGGGAUUGACUGCUCCGGGUUUUCAGCUAAGUGUGAAUAUGCAGGAUAAUUACCAUCGUGUGUUACCUGAGAUUACAGGGUUGUGUUCCAGCUAAUGACACCAUGAGAACCAAGCAGUUGUUAAUAUUUAAUCAGUCUCUUGGCUUAACAAUUGGAUAAAUGAGGUGUGUAAUUACACAAUUACAAAAGACAUUUCAGAUAGGAAUGGUAGUGUUUUUAAUACUGAAGGUGAAAGCUGGUGGAAAUACACCACUAGGUCAUUUCAUAGAUAUUACCAAAGAAGACCCUAUGGGGCAGGGGGAGUUAGUUCUCCCUUAUGAAAUUUUAAGCACAGAUCUCAAAUGCUUUUCCAGAGUGGAUUUUUCUCUGUUGUUUCUGGGCCCCUCCAUAUAGAACAUCAGACCAGAUGUUUUAUUGAUAUCACAGAUUUCACUGGAGUCUUUAAAUGGAACAGGCUCCAGAAUUUUCUUAAUUACAUUCUAAAGAUGGCUCCUUCCUGUUUAGUAGCUAUAUGCACUAGUAGAUUUUUGCUUGUUUAUUUAUUUAUUUUGGUACCAGGAAUUGAACUAGGAGUAAUUAACCACUGAACCACUUUCCCAGCCCGUUUUAUAUUUUAUUUUGAGAAAGGGUCUCACUAAGUUUCUGAGGCUGGCUUUGAAUUCAAGAUCAAAGCUCCUGUCUCAGCUUCCCAAGCCACUGGGAUUACAGGUAUGUGCCACCAAGAUUUUUUCUUGUUUAUUCUUUUUAUUUUCGGUGGACUUUUGAGAGAGAUGAAACCAAAGCCCAGGACAAUGAGUGACAGUGCCAUUUUCUUGGGGCUGUUUCUUUGCCUGUUUCUCCCCUGAGCCACCCAG
rnacentral:lncRNA from 1 species